AUAUCAGUCAUGCAUAGCAUAUCAAUAAGCGGAGGAAAAGAAACUAACAAGGAUUCCCUUAGUAACGGCGAGUGAAGCGGGAAGAGCUCAAAUUUGAAAUCUUCAAGGUUCUACCUUGACGAAUUGUAGUUUAUAGAAGUGUUUUCUGUUAGUAGGAGUGGCAAAAGUUCUUUGGAAUAGGACAUCAUAGAGGGUGAGAAUCCCGUAUUUGGUCAUUCUUUCUAGCUUUGUGAUACACUUUCAACGAGUCGGAUUGUUUGGGAAUGCAGUCCAAAAUGGGUGGUAAAUUUCAUCUAAAGCUAAAUAUUGGCGAGAGACCGAUAGCGAACAAGUACCGUGAGGGAAAGAUGAAAAGAACUUUGAAAAGAGAGUUAAACAGUACGUGAAAUUGUCAAAAGGGAAGCGUUUGACACCAGUGUUGUUUUUCCGAAAAUCAAUUACGAAUGUUUUAUUUUUGAGAAGUUAUGACUUCAUCGGCUUGCUUCUCUCUUUAUGAAACUUUCUUAAUGCACUUUUCGGUUAACAAGUCAACAUCAAUUUCUUUUGUUGUAAAAGGGUAUGAGGAAGGUGGCUUUCUUUUCGGAGAAAGUGUUUAUAGCCUUGUACCUCUGCAAUCGGAGAGAUUGAGGUCUGCAGCGUAGAUCCUUCGGGGUUAGAUACAUUUGUGCUAAGUUAUAGCUUUUCAUAGACAACUUGUUGACUAUGUUUAGUCUUGUAGCUUACUCGCUUAUGCUAUUUUACCUACGCUUAGGAUGUUGAUCUCUCACAGUCGAGC
rnacentral:rRNA from 1 species